GCUUAAUUUGACUCAACACGGGGAAACUUACCAGGUCCAGACAUAGUAAGGAUUGACAGACUGAGAGCUCUUUCUUUUUUGAUCAAAUGUAAGUAAUGUAUAGAUCAAAAAGUCAGACUAGC
rnacentral:ncRNA from 1 species